GUCGAGCGAACAGAUAAGGAGCUUGCUCCUUUGACGUUAGCGGCGGACGGGUGAGUAACACGUGGGUAACCUACCUAUAAGACUGGAAUAACUCCGGGAAACCGGGGCUAAUGCCGGAUAAUAUUUAGAACCGCAUGGUUCUAAAGUGAAAGAUGGUUUUGCUAUCACUUAUAGAUGGACCCGCGCCGUAUUAGCUAGUUGGUGGGGUAAUGGCUUACCAAGGCAACGAUACGUAGCCGACCUGAGAGGGUGAUCGGCCACACUGGAACUGAGACACGGUCCAGACUCCUACGGGAGGCAGCAGUAGGGAAUCUUCCGCAAUGGGCGAAAGCCUGACGGAGCAACGCCGCGUGAGUGAUGAAGGUCUUCGGAUCGUAAAACUCUGUUAUUAGGGAAGAACAAAUGUGUAAGUAACUGUGCACGUCUUGACGGUACCUAAUCAGAAAGCCACGGCUAACUACGUGCCAGCAGCCGCGGUAAUACGUAGGUGGCAAGCGUUAUCCGGAAUUAUUGGGCGUAAAGCGCGCGUAGGCGGUUUCUUAAGUCUGAUGUGAAAGCCCACGGCUCAACCGUGGAGGGUCAUUGGAAACUGGGAAACUUGAGUGCAGAAGAGGAAAGUGGAAUUCCAUGUGUAGCGGUGAAAUGCGCAGAGAUAUGGAGGAACACCAGUGGCGAAGGCGACUUUCUGGUCUGUAACUGACGCUGAUGUGCGAAAGCGUGGGGAUCAAACAGGAUUAGAUACCCUGGUAGUCCACGCCGUAAACGAUGAGUGCUAAGUGUUAGGGGGUUUCCGCCCCUUAGUGCUGCAGCGGGACCCGCACAAGGCGGGUGGAGCAUGUGGGUUU
rnacentral:rRNA from 1 species